GACGAACGCUGGCGGCGUGCUUAACACAUGCAAGUCGAACGGAAAGGCCCUGCUUUUGUGGGGUGCUCGAGUGGCGAACGGGUGAGUAACACGUGAGUAACCUGCCCUUGACUUUGGGAUAACUUCAGGAAACUGGGGCUCAUACCGGAUAGGAGCUCCUGCUGCAUGGUGGGGGUUGGAAAGUUUCGGCGGUUGGGGAUGGACUCGCGGCUUAUCAGCUUGUUGGUGGGGUAGUGGUUUACCAAGGCUUUGACGGGUAGCCGGCCUGAGAGGGUGACCGGGCACAUUGGGACUGCGAGACGGCCCAGAAUCCUACGGGAGGCAGCAGUGGGGAAUAUUGCACAAUGGGCGGAAGCCUGAUGCAGCAACGCCGCGUGCGGGAUGACGGCUUUCGGGUGGUAAACCGCUUUCGCCUGUGACGAAGCGUGAGUGACGGUAAUGGGUAAAGAAGCACCGGCUAACUACGUG
rnacentral:rRNA from 1 species